rnacentral:rRNA from 1 species
CUGGCUCAGGACGACGCUGGCGGCGUGCCUAAUACAUGCAAGUCGAGCGAGCAGAACCAGCAGAUUUACUUCGGUAAUGACGCUGGGGACGCGAGCGGCGGAUGGGUGAGUAACACGUGGGGAACCUGCCCCAUAGUCUAGGAUACCACUUGGAAACAGGUGCUAAUACCGGAUAAUAAAGCAGAUCGCAUGAUCAGCUUAUAAAAGGCGGCGUAAGCUGUCGCUAUGGGAUGGCCCCGCGGUGCAUUAGCUAGUUGGUAAGGUAACGGCUUACCAAGGCAAUGAUGCAUAGCCGAGUUGAGAGACUGAACGGCCACAUUGGGACUGAGACACGGCCCAAACUCCUACGGGAGGCAGCAGUAGGGAAUCUUCCACAAUGGACGCAAGUCUGAUGGAGCAACGCCGCGUGAGUGAAGAAGGUUUUCGGAUCGUAAAGCUCUGUUGUUGGUGAAGAAGGAUAGAGGUAGUAACUGGCCUUUAUUUGACGGUAAUCAACCAGAAAGUCACGGCUAACUACGUGCCAGCAGCCGCGGUAAUACGUAGGUGGCAAGCGUUGUCCGGAUUUAUUGGGCGUAAAGCGAGCGCAGGCGGAAGAAUAAGUCUGAUGUGAAAGCCCUCGGCUUAACCGAGGAAUUGCAUCGGAAACUGUUUUUCUUGAGUGCAGAAGAGGAGAGUGGAACUCCAUGUGUAGCGGUGGAAUGCGUAGAUAUAUGGAAGAACACCAGUGGCGAAGGCGGCUCUCUGGUCUGCAACUGACGCUGAGGCUCGAAAGCAUGGGUAGCGAACAGGAUUAGAUACCCUGGUAGUCCAUGCCGUAAACGAUGAGUGCUAAGUGUUGGGAGGUUUCCGCCUCUCAGUGCUGCAGCUAACGCAUUAAGCACUCCGCCUGGGGAGUACGACCGCAAGGUUGAAACUCAAAGGAAUUGACGGGGGCCCGCACAAGCGGUGGAGCAUGUGGUUUAAUUCGAAGCAACGCGAAGAACCUUACCAGGUCUUGACAUCUAGUGCCAUCCUAAGAGAUUAGGAGUUCCCUUCGGGGACGCUAAGACAGGUGGUGCAUGGCUGUCGUCAGCUCGUGUCGUGAGAUGUUGGGUUAAGUCCCGCAACGAGCGCAACCCUUAUUAUUAGUUGCCAGCAUUAAGUUGGGCACUCUAAUGAGACUGCCGGUGACAAACCGGAGGAAGGUGGGGAUGACGUCAAGUCAUCAUGCCCCUUAUGACCUGGGCUACACACGUGCUACAAUGGGCAGUACAACGAGAAGCGAGCCUGCGAAGGCAAGCGAAUCUCUGAAAGCUGUUCUCAGUUCGGACUGCAGUCUGCAACUCGACUGCACGAAGCUGGAAUCGCUAGUAAUCGCGGAUCAGAACGCCGCGGUGAAUACGUUCCCGGGCCUUGUACACACCGCCCGUCACACCAUGGAAGUCUGCAAUGCCCAAAGCCGGUGGCCUAACCUUCGGGAAGGAGCCGUCUAAGGCAGGGCAGAUGACUGGGGUGAAGUCG